UUACACAUGCAAGUCGAACGGUAACGCGGGGCAACCUGGCGACGAGUGGCGAACGGGUGAGUAAUACAUCGGAACGUGCCCAGUAGUGGGGGAUAGCCCGGCGAAAGCCGGAUUAAUACCGCAUACGACCUAAGGGUGAAAGGGGGGGAUCGCAAGACCUCUCGCUAUUGGAGCGGCCGAUGUCAGAUUAGCUAGUUGGUGGGGUAAAAGCUCACCAAGGCGACGAUCUGUAGCUGGUCUGAGAGGACGACCAGCCACACUGGGACUGAGACACGGCCCAGACUCCUACGGGAGGCAGCAGUGGGGAAUUUUGGACAAUGGACGAAAGUCUGAUCCAGCCAUGCCGCGUGCGGGAAGAAGGCCUUCGGGUUGUAAACCGCUUUUGUCAGGGAAGAAAUCUUCUGGGCUAAUAACUCGGGAGGAUGACGGUACCUGAAGAAUAAGCACCGGCUAACUACGUGCCAGCAGCCGCGGUAAUACGUAGGGUGCAAGCGUUAAUCGGAAUUACUGGGCGUAAAGCGUCCGCAGGUGGCUUGAUAAGACAGACGUGAAAUCCCUGGGCUCAACCUAGGAAUUGCGUUUGUGACUGUCUCGCUAGAGUAUGGGAGAGGGGGGUGGAAUUCCACGUGUAGCAGUGAAAUGCGUAGAGAUGUGGAGGAACACCGAUGGCGAAGGCAACCCCCUGGCCUAAUACUGACACUCAUGGACGAAAGCGUGGGGAGCAAACAGGAUUAGAUACCCUGGUAGUCCACGCCCUAAACGAUGUCUACUAGUUGUUGGGCUUUUCGGAGCUUAGUAACGCAGCUAACGCGUGAAGUAGACCGCCUGGGGAGUACGGUCGCAGGACUAAAACUCAAAGGAAUUGACG
rnacentral:rRNA from 1 species